UUUAUCUUAUCCAUAUUAAUAUAAGAGAUAGCAGACCACUAUUCCUACAGUCGAAUUUCGAACACGCAGCACGCAACACGCAGGGCGACCAUGGCGGUUCUGAGAGGCGCGGGGAGGGAGGGCCGCUCUCAACGCUCCAUGCGACGCGUUGGGAGCUAAAUCAAGCUUUCAGCAAGAUCAGCUUGUAGAUAAAAAAUGGCAAUAUGAGCUUCAUAACAUAGAUCUACAAAAAAUGCGCAAUGGCUUUAUUACACGAUUAGAAGAAAGAUUUCAUUUUUGACACAAACAUUUCAUUUUCUUCAGGGAGAUCUCGUUGCAUUCAACGUGUUACAAAAUAAUCAUUCGUGCACAAAACCAUUAGAUUUCCUUCAUUGGGAGCCGAUUCCGGGUGCACCAUUUGGUCAUGCUUAUCAUUAUAAUACAAUGUCGAAGGAACUGAAGCGAUCUGAGAAAUUUAUACUGUACCACAGCCGGAAAGGAAUGAAAUUUAAAUUGUAUAUACAAUUAAGCUUGUAAUAAAAACAAACAAAGCACCGGAAGGCUUUGUAAACAGACAAAUAGAUAGAUGCGGCGAAGAAGUGUAUUUACGUAGAUAAGAUAGGUAUGUGGAUAGUAAAAAAAAAUCACCGGUGCGAAGAUUAGGAUGAACUCGACCGUGUUGUCAACCGUCAGUUGGUGCUCCAAGUCAAAAUCCAAUCUGGAAUUAAACAUUAAAAUACCUACUAAACCUUA